rnacentral:rRNA from 1 species
UUCUGGCGUCAGGAUGAACGCUGGCGGCGUGCCUAAUACAUGCAAGUCGAGCGAGAAUCUUCAGAAACAAUCUUCGGAUGCGUUCAGGAGAGGAAGCGGCGGACGGGUGAGUAACGCGUAGGCAACCUGCCCCUGGCAGAGGGAUAGCCAUUGGAAACGAUGAUUAAAACCUCAUAAAGCUCAAAGAGCACAUGCUCAUUGAGCCAAAGAUUUAUCGGCUGGGGAUGGGCCUGCGUCUGAUUAACUAGUUGGUGAGGUAACGGCCCACCAAGGUGACGAUCAGUAGCCGACCUGAGAGGGUGAUCGGCCACAUUGGAACUGAGACACGGUCCAAACUUCUACGGAAGGCAGCAGUAAGGAAUCUUGCACAAUGGGGGAAACCCUGAUGCCAGCAACGCCGCGUGAACGAUGAAGGCCUUAGGGUUGUAAAGUUCUGAUCUGUGGGAAGAAGAAAGUGACGGUACCACAGAAGAAAGCCCCGGCUAAAUACGUGCCAGCCGCAGC